GCAGGGUGAGGCUCGCUCGAGAGGGGGGCGAGGCAAGAAAGGCACUACCAAUCGAAAAGUCGUGAAAAAUCUCCCAUUACAUUCACAAAACGCGUCGCGAAACUAUUUAUGCCACGGUCGUACGGAUGUUGUUAAAUGUCAUAAUCUCUGUCAACUCAUUAAGAUAAGACUGUGUCCGGAAUCUCUAAUUCUUCCUUUGGAAAUAACUAUGAUGAGAUGAAUUGAAGAUUUCACACGGCAUUCCAGGAGUCAACGCUUUAGGUGUCGAUUUCUUGGCAUGAUGCCAUCUACCUGCCACCUUGGUACUUUAGUGGUAACAAGGACGUACAGAGCCGUCCAAAUUGCUUUGGUAUCGAUCAACUAACCCAAUAACCGACCCGUUGUAUCCUGAUUUGACGUGAUCAAUCCAGCUAUAAGUUGGUAUUAAAAAUGUGUUAGAUCAACAACUGUGAUGACAUAGUCUACAUACCACCUCCUGCUGCAAACUAGAAUGUCACAGCUUCGUCCAGCUUUUUCAAGUCUGAAGCAGUGGGUUAGCCUUGUGUCACACCUUAGCCCCCGUGUGAAGCCCACUUCUGGAGUCACCGGCCGUGGUAUUGCGCUGGAAGAGAUGUGAAAGCGGCGUAAAACCAUAUUCAUUCAUUCUUAACACCGUGCUCUUUCUGGUAGGAUAAGGUUGUUGUUACGGAGAACCUAAUUAUGCUUAUCUCCCCAAUCGAAGAUUCUCGUGAUCAAUGAGUUUGUACUUGACUUGGAAUGAAAAAGCACACAGAAGCGCGAUGUCUGCUUCCACGUGUUGACAGAACACUUUAUCAUUUUCCUAUUACAGUAAACUACGGUUAUAGCGAACACGCUUAUAACGAACUGACCGAUAUAACGAACUUAAUUUUUAGUCCCGGCCAUUUGUUGCAUAUAUGCUGUAUAUCUGCUUAUAACGAACUACGGUUAUAACGAACCAAAAUUAGCGGUCCCUUUGAGUUCGUCAUAACCGUAGUUUACUGUAUGUCCUUCCAAUUAAUGUCAGACAUUACGGUUUUAGACACUUAUACAUUUAUAUGUAACCGUCCCUGUGUUGGCCAAGGACAUGCAUGAAUAUAACAGUAACGCAUAAGCAUAAUAGUUGAUUGAUGGUGUAUUUCCACGGAACUAGAUAAUAUAGGUCUGUGGUAUUUAUGAUAAAGACUGUCAGUGAAUGGGGCUUAAGCAACUUGUAACAGUAUUUCAGUUAUAUCAUAGCAUGUCAGCUUAAGUUGGAAUUACGUUCUAGGUGACGGAGGUCGUGAACGUUGCUAUGUUGCUGGUAGACCAUGAUCCUAAUCGAGGCUAGUUUAGUAUUCGAACCCUUGACAAACGAACUCGUCACGGUGGAGGGAUGAGGCACCCACGGCAUCUAGUACCACUGGACUACCCGUGGCCCGGAUGAUAGUGAGUGAAUGUUGUGUUACGUCACCAGUGUUCCAGCUCUAUCGCGGUCGCCUGUACAUGAUUGGGCCUGGACCAAGCAAACCGGUGACUGAAGACAUGAGCAAAGGUCCACGCCAUCGUCCGCACUCUGAAACACAGAGUAACCUAACCUAACCAACCGAUCCCGCUGGCUGAAAUUGUUUUUAAAAAUGUAAAGAACAAUCUGAUAGAAGACGCGUUUCUUGAAGUUGCCAAGGUCCGACAUUAUUCAGUUUGUCCCUCAACCGAAUGAAUUGUGAAAUGAAGUAAAAUUCAAUUUCUUUUAAGUUGCUGAAACGUACAUCCUUAAAAGACGUAUGUACACAUAGCGAAAUUACGUCUCGAAAAACUGCAUCGUUUCUCUUUGUGCACUUGUAGUGACAAAGUUAUCAUUUAUAGUCAAGUCAGAAGUACUUUGUUAACAGAAACAUGCGCAAGAAACGCAUAUAAACUGCAAACAUACACAAUAAUAUAAUCUGCGCAAAAGGGGUCAAGGUCGGGGGACAAGUUUAGGGUCAUGUACACUUCAAGUACAAAUGUACGUCCUUCAAGGGAUCCUCUCUCACAUGCCGCCUUUACGCAAUGGCCGCCGGGACCCGUGCACUCUUCGACGGGUUUCGCCAUCUUGCUUUGUGAUGAAAGACUAUAAAGAUGAACGUCAUAGACCAUCUCACAGAUGGUUUCUCGAAAUUAUGCUUAAACGUUUCCCAUCCGAAGUCAUAUUCAGUUGCCAUGGCAACCGUGUAGGAAAAGACUAUUUUUGCCCAUUUCUCUGCAAUGCCAACAAUACGGUGGAAUGUGUUUGGGAGGGUCUCGCAAAUACUUGUUCACUUUUUUGUCUACUUGCACGUUUCACCAUGCUACAGCACUUUGACGUAGAAAACGCCGACUUGCAUGCAUUGAAACUUGAAUGCAGAAAAAAAUGUCAAAAUCUGACGUGAUUUAAAACUAACAGUAUUUUCAAACUCGUUUCUGGUUUACAAUGACGUCAAGUUUCAUCAUUUGAGCACUGAUGGUUCUGCAUAAGAUAUUUUACGGAUUCCAUGUGAAAUGGUGGUAUUAUUUAAGAACCGACUUUCACUUUGUUUGAGUUCAUUGGAGUAUGAACCUUCAUAGAGUGGGGGCCCAACGGUAUGAACGUCGGCGCUAAUUACCACAAAUUAGGAGCAAAUCAAAUCUUUAGCUGGACGAUUUUUGUUUUUUAAAAAGAUUGCGAAGUCGUUCCCAUCUACCUUUCAUGCUAAGGCAUCAUGACAAAGUAUCUAUUAUCAGCGAAGAGCUUCAGAAUGAUAACAAUUUUAAAGGAGGAUCCUUGUCAAAAUCACCCCUCUAGUUUCACUAACUACUCAUCUACAAUGAACUAUGAGAAACCUUACAGGUCUUUUGGAAAUGACAAAUUUCUAAGUUUCGGAGAUGUUUCUAAAAUAGAAUUGUUUUGAAAUAUAUGUCAUGGUCACGUGACUGCCAACUAGUCCCAUUGCAUUUAUAGUGUACAUGGUUCAGACUAUAACAUGGCCAAGUACAGAGGUAUGGCUUGUGAAGACCAUUUGGCAUGUAUAUAUAUUUAUAUCGCAACAUACGAGUUCCAGCCAAACUGCUUUGAGCCUUAGAUGAAAUGGAUCCUCGUUAACAUUUAUCAUUAUAUAUAAAAGAUAGCAAAGAACAACGAAGAACAAAGCGUGGUUUAUUUCACGAUACAACAUUGUUCUAGCAUGACGUCAUUUCUGGAGCAACUUGAUGACGUCUUAAAUUGGACGACGUUACUUUUGAGAAUGUGUCCAGUGAUAUUUUCCCCAUAGAUGUAGCUGGACAAAGCAGAUAAACGCAAUGGCCGAACGAUCGUGUCCAAAAGCGGGAGAGAUAUGACAACCGGUAUUGGAAGAAAAAGUACAUUUGAGAACAUCGGGGAAAUACCAAACCUAAGCCCCCUGUUCAUAAAAUGGAUUUGUCCGACAUUGUCGGGGUCGGACUGUAUUCAGGGAGUCAUAAUUAUUUUAAAAAACGGGUAAAUGUAUAAAGCUUGUACAUUUUAUCGACAUCCUUAAAGAGG